AACGAACGCUGGCGGCAUGCCUAACACAUGCCAGUCGAACGAGACCUUCGGGUCUAGUGGCGCACGGGUGCGUAACGCGUGGGAACCUGCCCUUAGGUUCGGAAUAACUCCCCGAAAGGGGUGCUAAUACCGGAUAAUGUCUUCGGACCAAAGAUUUAUCGCCUUUGGAUGGGCCCGCGUUGGAUUAGCUAGUUGGUAGGGUAAAAGCCUACCAAGGCGACGAUCCAUAGCUGGUCUGAGAGGAUGAUCAGCCACACUGGGACUGAGACACGGCCCAGACUCCUACGGGAGGCAGCAGUGGGGAAUAUUGGACAAUGGGCGGAAGCCUGAUCCAGCAAUGCCGCGUGAGUGAUGAAGGCAGUAGGGUUGUAAAGCGCUUUUACCCGGGAUGAUAAUGACAGUACCGGGAGAAUAAGCGCCGGCUAACUCCGUG
rnacentral:rRNA from 1 species